CAAAAGGCCUUAAAGUUUGAUAUUAGCCGUUACAGUCUAACUAAUAUAGUGUUUGGCAAUUGACAUAUCUGAUUUAAGUGUCAAAAUAAUGUGUUUUCCUUUUUUCUUACAGCCUUUGGAAACUGUUGAACAGAGAUAGGAUGCAAUGAAUGGACAACUGGUGGAACUUUGCCCUUUUCAACGUUACAGGGAGUAGCUGACUCAUAUCAUCAGUGGAGGUUACCCUGGGUAUAUUUAUGUGUGUUUUAUAAAAAGUAAGCCAUCUAAAACAUGACACAGUAUAUCAGUUAGGUUGAAUGUUGUUUUAGUUCAUUAUGUGUCAAGUAAUGAAAAAUGCCCAAAAUGAACAUUAACAACCAUAUAAAAAAUUUAAACCACCAUAAAUAUUUGGUAACAUAUAAGGCAAAGUUAUCAACAGCAAUUUAGAUUUAUAGUGCUCUAAAUGAAGUUAUCAAGUUGAAAUCAACGCAAUGCCCCUUAUUUAGCACUUUGUUCUAUAAUUCUGUUUCUCAUCUGUUUUUAAAUAAUAACGGCAUAGAUAUGAAAAGGUAUAGACCUAAGUACUAAGAUAUUACUGAUCCUGGCGAUAAAGAGUCACUGGUUGAUGAGCCGACAGUGAGUGUAGGAACCAUGGGAUAUAGGAUAUCUCUAGAAGCCAGGAGAGGGUUACAUCGACAAAACCAAAAAUGAUUUAACUAAUGAUUUGAUUUAAUUGAGCAGUGAAAUUACAAGGGCCCGAUCUAUAUACCAAAACUGCUUCAUUAAGUUAAAGCUGUUCUGGUGUUUAGUUUAUCCCUUUAAUAUAUUCUUCAAAAGUGGAUCUCUGAUAAUUAUGAAAGGCCGUCCCUGACACACUUUCUUUGGUUCCUACACCGAUUCUUACAGUGCAUUGGCUACAUCAAAAGAAGAAAAACUACCACAACAAGAGGACAUAGUCUUAAAUUAGAGGGGCAAAGGUUUAAAAAUAAUAUCAGGAAGUAUUACUUUACUGAGAGAGUAGUGGAUGCAUGGAAUAGCCUUCCAGCUGAAGUGGUAGAGGUUAACAUAGUACAGGACUUUAAGCAUGAGUGGGAUAGGCAUAAGGCUAUCCUAACUAUAAGAUAAGGCCAGGGACUAAUGAAAGUAUUUAGAAAAUUGGGCAGACUAGAUGGGCCGAAUGGUUCUUAUCUGCUGUCACAUUCCAUGUUUCUAUGUUUCUAACAAACUCUACUGUUGUAGCUACCGCAGCCACUUACUGAAUAGAUCUUUAAUUUGCUGGUAUUAGGAGACCUAGUUACAUACAAAUGAUGCAAUAACUUUUCAACUUUCCCUUUAUUUUAUUUUCCAGGUUUCUAGUGACUUGUAGGUUAAACAUUGUAUAAGACUUGUGCCUCCCAGUUCCAUUGAAGAUUUGUAAACAAGGGAUUACCCAUGUCUUGUAAGACUGUGAUUUCAAAUUCUCUAACGUUUUUUUUAUUUUAUAUCAUUCUUAAGUUUUGUUUUAGACUUCCACACAUACUUCCUUAUAGACUAACUGUCCACACCUAUUUCAUGAAAGGUAGGAGAACAACAUAUUCUUCCCUUUUUGUCUUUAAUAAAAAUGAUCUUACUUCUUUCUGUUACUCUAGAAGACAUCUUUAGGUGAGCUUGGAAAAUUGGGAAAUAUUACUUCUGAUGAAUAUAUACAGAGCUCUAAAUGAGUAAAAUCGUUGUUAGUGGUGAUAUAACCCGAGGGUGGUUCAAGUUAAGUCCUUAAGAGCUGAAGACGAAAUUAGGCUUUUUAGAUAAUUCUGCAUUCACAAACCAUACAACAACCUGUAAGAUGCCUAUUGUUAUUUUGCAAUAAAGAGACAUACCAAUUAGGUGCAAUGAGUUGGUUAGAUUACAGAUUGUUAUGUUUGGUAUUUUUUUUUAAAUUAAUCUUCUUUAGUUUUAUUAACAAAUAACUUUUUUAUUUACUCCAUAAUUUAACUCUUUUUGCCUCACCCUCCAAACCUGCAGGGUAUUACUUUUGCUCCAAAAAUAAUGCUUAACAGGUCAUGCGGUUCCUGAGAACUUGAGUUCCACUGACAAUCCACUAUAACUUCCAGAAACCCUUGCAAUGCCCAGAAAGUGCUGCCUGCGGUGAAAACUGAGUAGUACUACAGAAAAUUAAGUGAGAAUGUUUGGAUUAGCCAGGAGAUCAUGACUAGUGAUGACAUCCAGUGGUGGAUGGGAGCUGUGGCAAAGAGAUUGUCCCGUCAGUGGAUUAGAGCUAAGUAAUAGAUUUUUUUACUAGAAUAGGAUGCUCAGAAUUCCAAACCUACCUUUGAACACUCCUUCAUCAUAUAUAUUUAUUUGUAAUGCUGGAAUGUUUCUAGAGAGUGCAAGCUUGUUUGGCUAGGGCCCUCUUCACCUGCUGUCGCUGCGUGCCAUACAUAUUUUGUCAAAAUUACAUGUUUGUCUUUGUUCCUAUUGGUCAGCAAUGCAGAAUAGGUUAGCACUAUAUAAAUAAUUGUAAUUGUUAAUAUACUAGCUAUUACAUUAGUUGGUUUGAGUAUUUGUCCAAAUCUGCAAUUUUUUACUUCAUUUUGCAGUUUGGUUGUCGGUUAAUAUUAUUAUUAUUAUUAUUAUUAUUAUUAUUGGCAUUUAUAUAGCACCAGCUUAUUACACCGUUCUUUACAAUAUUAUUAAGGUGGGAUUUAACAAGAAGUGAGACACACGAUUACAAUUCUUGAUAGGAACAACAGGUUGAUGAGUACCCUACUUAACAAGCCUACGAUCUAGAGAUGGGUGUUUAAUGUAAAAAAACAAUAAUCAUUUUAUCUUUAUGAAGACAUUACUGUUAGCAGUAUUAUAAGGACAGUGCCUAGACACAGAGACAAAUGGAACAUUUUAAGAGGAUUGUAUUUAUUGCAUUAGAUUGUAUAGAUAACUAGAGUAGAGAGGAGGAGGCUUCCCG
rnacentral:lncRNA from 1 species